rnacentral:pre_miRNA from 1 species
CUCAACGUUUAACCGUCCGUCUUAUAUGAAAUUUUUUAUAAUUAAUAUUUUUAUUAUUGUUAGACGAUAAAACAUGAUUAAUAUUUUAUGCGUGACUUAUCUUUUUAAUUUUUUUUUCAUAUUUUUUUAAAUAAGACGGACGAUCAAACGUUGGACGCGGAAACCCAU